rnacentral:tRNA from 1 species
GGAGAGAUGGCUGAGCGGUUGAAAGCACCGGUCUUGAAAACCGGCAAGGGUUAAUAGCCCUUCGUGGGUUCAAAUCCCACCCUCUCCGCCA